rnacentral:piRNA from 1 species
UCAGGACAAAAAAAUUUAGAA